AGCGAACGCUGGCGGCAGGCCUAACACAUGCAAGUCGAACGGACCCUUCGGGGUUAGUGGCGGACGGGUGAGUAACACGUGGGAACGUGCCUUUAGGUUCGGAAUAGCUCCUGGAAACGGGUGGUAAUGCCGAAUGUGCCCUUCGGGGGAAAGAUUUAUCGCCUUUAGAGCGGCCCGCGUCUGAUUAGCUAGUUGGUGGUGUAACGGACCACCAAGGCGACGAUCAGUAGCUGGUCUGAGAGGAUGAUCAGCCACAUUGGGACUGAGACACGGCCCAAACUCCUACGGGAGGCAGCAGUGGGGAAUCUUGCGCAAUGGGCGAAAGCCUGACGCAGCCAUGCCGCGUGAAUGAUGAAGGUCUUAGGAUUGUAAAAUUCUUUCACCGGGGACGAUAAUGACGGUACCCGGAGAAGAAGCCCCGGCUAACUUCGUGCCAGCCGCCGCGGUAA
rnacentral:rRNA from 1 species